CGCCGCCGCCGCCGCCCGGGACUGGGGACGCCGCGCGCCGAGCCAUGGCUUCGGUCCCCGCGGAGGCGGAGACCCGGCAGAGGCUGCUGCGCACCGUCAAGAAGGAGGACUCAGUUUCCCCAUCUGCAGACAGAUGCAUUUAUCCCUAUUUGAGGUCCAGUCUUUGUCAGUCUAGUUUGGAUUCUGGGAAGGCUCAGAGAAGAGGAGCGACUUGCCCAAGAGCACCCAGCUAAGAAGGGGCAGAGUCUGGACUUACCACCCAGUGCCACCAAGGGAGAGCUGGAGACAAGGUGUCCUCAGCGUGGUUUCCUCCAGUUAAAUCCAGCCAGCUCUAUCCUGGCUCCUUCCUGGCUCGCUCUACCCUCCCAAUGCCACCCCUUAAUUUGUUUUGGUUCCCGCAGAGAGACAGCAGAGACUGGCUUCCCGUUGCCAUGACAACUGCCAUUAAAGGAGGCUGCCACGUGAUGCCAGUUGAUAACAGAA